UCUGAUCGGCAACCCGAGAACGACAAACAAACGAUACUUCUGCACAUGCUCUUCUUUCGAACUAGACAUUCGCUGGCAAAAAAACCAUGUCGUUAUAGCAAAUCCUGCUUCAGUUAACUCUAAAUAUAUCUAGCUCAACAAUCCUGGAUUCUUCAAGUGAACAAUGCUGAGAAUGCUUCUUGCAGAGCUCGCUCGCAAGCGAUUUCCUCGCCAUAUCCUCCGGCACGUUCUAACACUUGAGCAGAACGGAUGUUGGACAAAUAUC
rnacentral:lncRNA from 1 species